GAAAUGCGAUACUUGGUGUGAAUUGCAGAAUCCCGUGAACCAUCGAAUCUUUGAACGCACAUUGCGCCCCCUGGUAUUCCGGGGGGCAUGCCUGUUCGAGCGUCAUUACAACCCUCAAGCUCUGCUUGGUAUUGGGCUCUGCCGGUCCCGGCAGGCCUUAAAAUCAGUGGCGGUGCCAUUCGGCUUCAAGCGUAGUAAUUCUUCUCGCUUUGGAGGCCCGGGUGCGUGCUUGCCAGCAACCCCCAAUUUUUUCAGGUUGACCUCGGAUCAGGUAGGGAUACCCGCUGAACUUAA
rnacentral:misc_RNA from 1 species